rnacentral:tmRNA from 1 species
GGGGCCGACUUGGCUUCGACGUGGGUAGCAAAGCAGACGAGUGCAUACCGAGGCCCAGUUCCCUCGUAAAUCCAUCUGGAAAAAAUUAGUCGCCAACGACGAAACGUACGCUCUAGCCGCUUGACGGCUAGACUCCACACCGGCAGGUCCAUGGGCCGGGCUGGGCAACCAGCGGUGGAGUCAUUCACAUGGACUCGCGUUGAAUCGGGCCGCUUGAUUCAACGUUAAACCAAGGUGGCUCGCCUGAAUCCAGCCUGUUCGGCCGGCGUGAUUCGGGUUAAAACCAAAUGACCGGAAUAAGUAUGUAGAUCUUGCUGUAGAGGACUUGCGGACGCGGGUUCGAUUCCCGCCGGCUCC